GCCCGCGUAGCUCAGUGGAUAGAGCGUCUGCCUCCGGAGCAGAAGGUCGUAGGUUCGAGUCCUGUCGCGGGCGCCA
rnacentral:tRNA from 1 species